rnacentral:rRNA from 1 species
GUGGAGGAACACCAGUGGCGAAGGCGACUCUCUGGUCUGUAACUGACGCUGAGGAGCGAAAGCGUGGGGAGCGAACAGGAUUAGAUACCCUGGUAGUCCACGCCGUAAACGAUGAGUGCUAAGUGUUAGGGGGUUUCCGCCCCUUAGUGCUGCAGCUAACGCAGUAAGCACUCCGCCUGGGGAGUACGGUCGCAAGACUGAAACUCAAAGGAAUUGACGGGGGCCCGCACAAGCGGUGGAGCAUGUGGUUUAAUUCGAAGCAACGCGAAGAACCUUACCAGGUCUUGACAUCCUCUGACAAUCCUAGAGAUAGGACGUCCCCUUCGGGGGCAGAGUGACAGGUGGUGCAUGGUUGUC